rnacentral:rRNA from 1 species
AUUGAACGCUGGCGGCAUGCUUUACACAUGCGAGUCGAACGGUAACAGGCCUUCGGGUGCUGACGAGUGGCGAACGGGUGAGUAAUGCAUCGGAACGUGCCCAGAGGUGGGGGAUAACGCAGCGGAAGCUGUGCUAAUACCGCAUGUGAUCUGAGGAUGAAAGCGGGGGACCAGGCAGCAAUGUUUGGCCUCGCGCCUUUGGAGCGGCCGAUGUCAGAUUAGGUAGUUGGUGGGGUAAAGGCCUACCAAGCCGACGAUCUGUAGCUGGUCUGAGAGGACGACCAGCCACACUGGGACUGAGACACGGCCCAGACUCCUACGGGAGGCAGCAGUGGGGAAUUUUGGACAAUGGGCGCAAGCCUGAUCCAGCAAUGCCGCGUGCGGGAAGAAGGCCUUCGGGUUGUAAACCGCUUUUGUACGGAACGAAAAGGCUCUGGCUAAUACCUGGGGCUGAUGACGGUACCGUAAGAAUAAGCACCGGCUAACUACGUG